rnacentral:rRNA from 1 species
GACGAACGCUGGCGGCGUGCCUAAUACAUGCAAGUCGAGCGGAAUGAUGAAGAAGCUUGCUUCUUCUGAUUUUAGCGGCGGACGGGUGAGUAACACGUGGGCAACCUACCUUGUAGAUUGGGAUAACUCCGGGAAACCGGGGCUAAUACCGAAUAAUCCAUUUUGCUUCAUGGCGAGAUGUUAAAAGGCGGCUUCGGCUGUCACUACGAGAUGGGCCCGCGGCGCAUUAGCUAGUUGGUAGGGUAAUGGCCUACCAAGGCGACGAUGCGUAGCCGACCUGAGAGGGUGAUCGGCCACACUGGGACCGAGACACGGCCCAGACUCCUACGGGAGGCAGCAGUAGGGAAUCUUCCACAAUGGACGAAAGUCUGAUGGAGCAACGCCGCGUGAGUGAAGAAGGUUUUCGGAUCGUAAAACUCUGUUGUAAGGGAAGAACACGUACGAGAGUAACUGCUCGUACCUUGACGGUACCUUAUUAGAAAGCCACGGCUAACUACGUG